rnacentral:rRNA from 1 species
UACGGGAGACAGAAGCGUACACGGUGGAUGCCUUGGCCGAGGAUGGCGAUGAAGGACGCGACUAAUCUGCGAUAAGCUCCGGGGAGGCGAUAUGUAGCCGUUAUAUCCGGAGAUUUCCGAAUGGGGAAACCCGCCCGCAGCAAUGCGGGCACGCGCGCGGUAACGCGCGCGCGAGCGAACCCGGGGAAGUGAAACAUCUCAGUACCCGGAGGAAAAGAAAGCACGACAGCGAUUCCCCAAGUAGCGGCGAGCGAAACGGGAGAAGCCCAAACCGCAUUCUUCGGAAUGCGGGGUUGUAAGGCAUGCGUAGCGCAUUCGAUGCGCAGAGAGUUAUCAAUCGUCUUCAUAGCCGAAGCCGCUGGGAAGCGGCGCCGCAGAGGGUAAUGGCCCCGUAGGCGAAAUGAACGACGACUCUUCCGCAUGUCCUUGAGUAGCGCCAGACACGAAUAGCUGGCGUGAAUCCGCCGGAACUAACCGGCAAGGCUCAAUACAUCCUCUGACCGAUAGCGAACUAGUACCGCGAGGGAAAGGUGAAAAGAACCCCGAGAGGGGAGUGAAAUAGAACUGAAACCGUGUACGUACAAAGGGUCGGAGCGGCGCGAGCAAUCGCGCCGUGACGGCGUGCCUAUUGAAGAAUGAGCCGGCGAGUGUGUGUAUCUUGCGUUAGCGAAGCCCGUAACGGGGCCAAGCUUGAGGGAAACCGAGCGUGAAUAGCGCGUCAGUAGGAUACAUACGACCCGAAGCCAGAUGAGCUUGCCAUGAGCAGGGUGAAGUCCGCCGAAAGGCGGAUGGAAGCCCGAACCCGUAGGUCGUACAACGCCUUGGGAUGACUUGUGGCAAGGAGUGAAAAGCUAAUCGAAUCUGGGAAUAGCUGGUUCUCUCCGAAACAGCUUUUGGGCUGGCGCUACGGUAUGUGUGCUGGGGGGUAGAGCACUGGAAGGGAUCAAUAGGGAGAAAUCUCGUGAUUCCUAUCAAACUCCGAAUACCCAGUACCCGCGUAGCAGUUAGAAGGUGGGGGCGAAGCUCCAUCGAUCGAGAGGGGAAGAGCCCAGAUCGCCACUUAAGGCCCCUAAAUCGACAUUCAGUACAUCACAAGGAAGUGAGGAUCCAUUGACAGUGAGGAGGUUGGCUUAGAAGCAGCCACCCUUUAAAGAAAGCGUAACAGCUCACUCAUCGAGGGUCCUUGCGCCGAAGAUGAUCGGGGUUAAAUGUCGUGCCGAAAUUGCGGGCUGGCAGUUGAAAUUAAGGUUCGACCUU